GAAAGUAGGAUUUUGCAGUAUUCCAUUUUCAAGUUGCAGGUUAAACAGAAGAUAAGUCAAACACCAGAACUCAAAGGAUCAUCUGCAACACAUAGGAAUCAAACUGUGGAAUCAAGUAGAAACCAACUGGUACCUGAAUAUGUGACAUGGUUAAACUUUAACAAAGAUGCGAAGGCAAGACUUUAAUAUGCUGUUUCUUGCGGUGAAGAUGGCUUCAACAAUGUAUUAGUUUGUGAUUAGUAAAUAUACCAGAUAUCAUAGUGUUUUCUUCAUAAGUGGACAACAACCAAGAUUUAAGCCAACUUGAAUGCCAUGUAUUAUUGUCACAUAGCAAAUAACUAUGAUUUAGAAAUUGUAGUAAAGAUCUUUUGCAUGAUAGAAUUCUGUCUAAAAUUAGCAAAGGAACAAAGAAGACUUCACUAUGGCAUCUCUUUCUGUAGAGGAAGAAAACUA